CAGGAACGAUCAGAAGAACAGGGGGUUCUUUCAAAACCCUAAAGCACAUGAAAUCCAGCAAAAUCAAGGAGAAAUCGAGCAAAGAAAUUAGGGCUUUAACUAAAAUCGUGAUCACCAAGCUAAGGGGAUCGGAAGUUUGACGCCUAACAAGCUAGGUGGAAGCUUGUGGAUGAAGCGGGUCAAACGGAGCGCGUACGGAAAGAAAGGCGUGGCAUGGAUGCAAGGUAAGUAUAGCUUACACUAGUCUUAUAUGUUAGGAUAUUCUCUUAUCGUAUUAGUUAUGAAUGAGAUAAAUACUUAUUUGAGGUAUGAUGUUCCGGCGUGUAAACGUACGGAACAAAGUAGUCAAUCAUGACAAGAAACCAUGUGGAUGGUUAAAAGGAGUUAAAUCGGUAAAUUGGUCAUGCGUUGACCAUAACUAUUGGUUUUGAAAGACACAGUAAAACAUAAACCAUGAUAGGCUAAAAAGUGUUAAGAAAUGAUUAAUAAGUGAAAUGACCGUACGAUGUAAACCGGAGCGAGUCAUGUAGAUGAGAUGGUAAUAAAUAUCAUCUCGUCAACAUAUUCGGUCACUUAGACCAAAUGGGUUAAAAGGUGAAGAUAUCACCCUUUGACAAUAACGACUAAUGAUUUUUGUCGAGUUAUAUUAUUUCAGGUGUAAAUGUCAAAUGGGUAUUAGCAACGCUAUGAAUUAGCGGUUAUAAAAGCAAGGUACACCUUGGACGCCGGAAGACGAUCAAGCUCAG